UACGUAGGGGGCAAGCGUUGUCCGGAUUUAUUGGGCGUAAAGAGCGUGUAGGCGGCCAUACAGGUCAGCUGUGAAAACUCGAGGCUCAACCUCGAGACGUCGGUUGAAACCGUAUGGCUAGAGUCCGGAAGAGGAGAGUGGAAUUCCCGGUGUAGCGGUGAAAUGCGCAGAUAUCGGGGAAGAACACCCGUGGCGAAGGCGGCUCUCUGGGGACGGUACUGACGCUGAGACGCGAAAAGCGUGGGGGAGCGAACAGG
rnacentral:rRNA from 1 species